rnacentral:snRNA from 1 species
AGAUAUGAGGGUAAAUCAGGUUGUGAUAUCUGUCAGCCCAUUGAUCACCAGGGUUUAUUUGAUUGAUCUCGAUGGCUAAGCAGGUGUCUCUUCCUCCCUAACCACUCCAUCUGCAUCCCUUCUAAAGCUGUGUGGUUGGUAAAAAAGACUGUCCUAAUAGAGGAGAGCCGGUCUUUGUUAAAGGGUAUAUGAAUAGCUGUACAUCCCUGCUGGAACUUCCAAGCAAGCGAUCAACGUGUUUGAUUCUUUAACUAGGCAAUUUGUUUUAUUGACUGAUUGUACCUGGGAUUGGAGCUAGAGGGCCUCAUAAACGUUAGGCACGUGCUCUCC